GGGAUGCUCACCUUGGCAGCCCCGGUACUCAAAUUGGAACGACACAAAGAAGACUAUCAUGACUCCUGUGUGAAAAUAGCAUGCAAAUUUGUGAAGUACUUUAUAUUUAA
rnacentral:snRNA from 1 species